rnacentral:rRNA from 1 species
ACUACGGGAGGCAGCAGUGGGGAAUAGUGGGCAAUGGGCGCAAGCCUGACCCAGCAACGCCGCGUGAAGGAAGAAGGCUUUCGGGUUGUAAACUUCUGUUGACAGGGAAGAGGAGAAGACGGUACCUGUCGAAUAAGCCAAGGCUAACUACGGGCCAGCAGCCGCGGUAAUACGUAGGUGGCAAGCGUUGUACGGAUGUACUGGGUGUAAAGGGCGUGGAGCCGGGUUGACAAGUCAGAUGUGAAAUCCUGCGGCUUAACCGCAGAACUGCAUUUGAAACUGUUGAUCUUGCGUACUGGAGAGGCAGCCUGAAUUCCUACUGUAGCGGUGACAUGCGUAGAUAUUAGGA